AUCAAAUAUUUCAUUGAUGUAAAUAGUUAGCUAUACCAAUUAAACUGCAUAUGGUAGCUUACGCACAUUGUGUACCCGGAAUAGACACCAGACAAAACUUUUAAAAUGCUCUGUCUUCCUAUUAUUCCAAGACUUCACUCCAACUUAGUCUAAGGUUUCCCACAACACCAAUGUAUUAUAUUACUUACAGUUAGGAAACUAAGCCUUAGAAAACAAGUAAGAGGGAUGGCAAAAGUGGUGCCAGCAGUCGCGGUUAUACCACUAUCCCUAGCUAACUCUCAACAAACCAAGAUAGACAAAAAAACAGACUACCAGAUUAACUUUUUACGUAAAAAAUACAUUAUAAAUAUACCCCCAUAAGUCCCAACAAACUAUCUAAACAAACCACAACCUCUGGAACUCGGAUUAGAUACCCGACUACCGUGUGGCUCAACACAAAAAAGAAUACUACAAACGAAAGUUUAAACCUCAAACAAUGUGGCGGUGCUCUACUCCCCAUCAGGGGAUCCUGUGGCUUAAACCGAUAGUCCACGCUUAACUCAAGCUUUUCUCGUACCCAGCUUGUGUAUGGCCGUUUACGCUUGCUCAUAGAAGAUGUAAAAGGAAGCAAUUAGGACAACCCCUAAUAAUUCAGGUGACAUACAGCCAAUGAAAAGCUGCCCCAUGGGAUACAAAUAAAAAGUAUUACUGAAAUACAACCUCAAAAGGUGUAUGAAAGAGGACUUGAAAGUAAGAAUAUACCUCACCAUGAAAAUCUGAAUAAGAACUAAAGCGCGCACAAAUCGCCCGUCACUCCGGCAAGAAAGCCGGAUAAGUCGUAACACAGUAGGGGUAAUGGAAAUUGCCCCUAAUAA
rnacentral:ncRNA from 1 species